rnacentral:rRNA from 1 species
GUUGUCCGGAUUUAUUGGGCGUAAAGGGCUCGUAGGUGGUUGAUCGCGUCGGAAGUGUAAUCUUGGGGCUUAACCCUGAGCGUGCUUUCGAUACGGGUUGACUUGAGGAAGGUAGGGGAGAAUGGAAUUCCUGGUGGAGCGGUGGAAUGCGCAGAUAUCAGGAGGAACACCAGUGGCGAAGGCGGUUCUCUGGGCCUUUCCUGACGCUGAGGAGCGAAAGCGUGGGGAGCGAACAGGCUUAGAUACCCUGGUAGUCCACGCUGUAAACGGUGGGUACUAGGUGUGGGGUCCAUUCCACGGGUUCCGUGCCGUAGCUAACGCUUUAAGUACCCCGCCUGGGGAGUACGGCCGCAAGGCUAAAACUCAAAGGAAUUGACGGGGCCCCGCACAAGCGGCGGAGCAUGCGGAUUAAUUCGAUGCAACGCGUAGAACCUUACCUGGGUUUGACAUGGAUCGGGAGUGCUCAGAGAUGGGUGUGCCUCUUUUGGGGUCGGUUCACAGGUGGUGCAUGGCUGUCGUCAGCUCGUGUCGUGA